GUUCAACGGCCGCGGUAUUUUGACCGUGCAAAGGUAGCGCAAUCACUUGUCUUUUAAAUGAAGACCCGUAUGAAUGGCACGACGAGGGCCAAACUGUCUCCUUUUUCAGGUCAAUGAAAUUGAUCCCCCCGUGCAGAAGCGGGGAUUAUUACAUAAGACGAGAAGACCCUAUGGAGCUUUAGACACCAGAGCAGCCCUUGUUAAACCACCCUAGACAAAGGAAAAAACCAAACGGGCCCUGCCCUCAUGUCUUUGGUUGGGGCGACCGCGGGGAAUACAAAACCCCCAUGUGGAAUGGGAGAACACCUCCUAAAACCAAGAGCUACAGCUCUAAGCAAUAGAAUAUCUAACCAAAAGAUCCGGCAAAGCCGAUCAACGAACCGAGUUACCCUAGGGAUAACAGCGCAAUCCCCUUUUAGAGUCCAUAUCGACAAGGGGGUUUACGACCUCGAUGUUGGAUCAGGACAUCCUAAUGGUGCAGCCGCUAUUAAGGGUUCGUUUGUUCAACGAUUAAAGUCCUACGUGAUCUGA
rnacentral:rRNA from 1 species